CUAACUGGACACUCACCUCCAUGAUGAUCAUCUGAGAUUCUUCGCUGCGGCUCAUCUGGUUGGUGGCUGACACCUGGCUGUCAUAAGCAAUGCAGGAACUCCUUGUGAGAGAUACGUUUUGGAGAUGCCUAAUAAAAAAGCAGAAGCAGCAGAGGAGCAACGUGGUCAUCCCCUGCCUGAGGCUCAACCCAUACCAGCUACUAGCCCCAAGGAUUUUCAGGUUUCUGAAUGUCUCAACUAGCACAAGGAGCUGAAUUUGCCCUAAACAAGUGGUUUUCCUAGGCAAAUGUGACACCACCUGUGCAUUCGCCUCAGCACCAAUUCCCUCAAGGAGAGGUGCAGGCUGUUCUUAAGACCUGUACAAUUCAGAGCAGUGAUUCCUGACUAUCGAUGAGCUGUGGAAGAGCCUGUUACACUUUGUUGACUAGAGGGAGAUGCUAAACCUCUAAUUCAGACUGUAUGCCAACAUUCCAGAAGAGCUCAUCUUCAUCCGCUAAAGCAUCAAGGUAAUCUGUAUCAACAUAUAAGAGAAAUCCCGAAAACAAACUGUCUGCCCAUGUUGGAUCGGAAAAGAGACCAUUUUGGUCAGCGUAGAAGAUCUCAAGCCAUACUUCAUCUUCUGGCUGAAGGUAGAUCACUGUGGAUCCAGAAGCUACAUCAUGGUUGCCUGUGUUAGCAUCAAAUGUCUUUAUUCGGUACUUCCCAUUGUGAACCAGCCCAAUUGCAAGAUGCUUGUUUGCUAAGGUGAUAUCAUAGGAAAAAUAAUAAAUCCCUGGGAUGGCACAAAUAAACUUCCCUGUGGAAGGGUUAUAAUGUUCCCCCUCAUUGAAGAGGACUUUAUUGAAUACGAUCGGUAAUCUUUCCUCUGGGUAGCUUGUGGUGAUGCCAACAGAAAAGGCAGAUUUCAGCACUAUCUUUCCACAUUUACAGACUCCUGGUGCACCUGGCUGCCCUCGGUCUCCUUUAUCUCCCUUAGGUCCUGGUGGUCCAGCUGGACCUAAGUCACCUUUGGCACCAGUCAGUCCUCCAGGUCCUUUUUUACCAGCCUGACCUUGGUCUCCUUUCUCUCCAGCUGGUCCUGAUGGCCCAGUCUUUCCUCUUAAACCUUCAAAAACAUUUUAAGUUAGUUAAUCAUUGACACAUAUCCUCUCAGUAAAUGAUUGUGUAGGCUACUAGCAAAUUUGCAAAAGCAAUGGCAGGUUGGAACAGAGGACUGGGCUCCACAGCCCAGGGGUCCUUUGUUUCUAUGUUUCUACUUUCCUUCAUACUUCUUGAUUGCACAUUGAAGAAUGUGUACCUGAUAAAUCCAUUACUGACUGAACUAUGAGCCCUAUAACAUGAUACUUGCACACUAAAUGUCUGCUAUUAUUUAAGCAUUUUUAGUAUGUAUCUAAGUACCUGCUAAUCUUUUACUCCUGGCUAAUGGCACAAAUGAGA